rnacentral:rRNA from 1 species
CCUACGGGCGGCUGCAGUGGGGAAUAUUGGACAAUGGGGGGAACCCUGAUCCAGCCAUGCCGCGUGUGUGAAGAAGGCCCUCGGGUUGUAAAGCACUUUCAGUGAGGAAGAACGCCUGGUGGUUAAUACCCAUCAGGAAAGACAUCACUCACAGAAGAAGCACCGGCUAACUCCGUGCCAGCAGCCGCGGUAAUACGGAGGGUGCGAGCGUUAAUCGGAAUUACUGGGCGUAAAGCGCGCGUAGGUGGCUUGAUAAGCCGGUUGUGAAAGCCCCGGGCUCAACCUGGGAACGGCAUCCGGAACUGUUAAGCUAGAGUGCAGGAGAGGAAGGUAGAAUUCCCGGUGUAGCGGUGAAAUGCGUAGAGAUCGGGAGGAAUACCAGUGGCGAAGGCGGCCUUCUGGACUGACACUGACACUGAGGUGCGAAAGCGUGGGUAGCAAACAGGAUUAGAUACCCUGGUAGUC